CAUUACACAGAUGCCUGCUCCCAGGCCGAAGGGGAAGUGGGUUUCUGCUCAAGGUCUGGUGUCCCCACAGGUGAGCAGGAUUCAACAGUGUGGGAGUGCUCCCCAUCUUACAGAUCCUAACCCUUUACACAGUGGAAAGGUGAGCAGGAUUCAACAGUGCACCAGUGCUCCACUGUGGGGUCCUGCUUCUUAGGGGCUGGUGUUUUGUGUAUAUGGGGAUGUUUAUGUUUGCUUUCUAGCUCUUGGCUCUGGCAAUUCCCUCUCCCCUGUAGUUAUCCAGGGAUAAGAAAGAUAGGUGCGUGCAUGGGUAAUAACAGAUAGUCCUGUAUGUGAUGGAGUGACCACAAAUCAGGACUGGAGGGGUGACUCUUAAUCUAGGCUUGUUCAAAUAGCUGUAUGUAUGCAUUUAUUGUGUUGUUUAAAGGGUGAUAAAGAGCUCUGCUCAAUAUUUUUGGAACAACAUAGACUGACUAGAUCUUUGGUUGUAAGGUAUCCUGAUAAAGGGAGGGUGGGGAGCAGGCUGGGAGCUGGGUUGGAUCUGACCAGUUAAGAUCUUGGAGGACAUUCGGAGUUUGCAUUUUCUUCUAAGAGUGAUGGGAAGCUGGGGACAUUUCCAGGGGAUUAUUUACAAGACGUGAUGUGUACUGUUAUGCGCUUUCUUUGGCUGCACUGGGAGCCUACUGUGCUAAGUCUGGAGAAAAAGAAAUGGAUUUCCCUUUCUGAUUCUGGGUAUGAAGCUGCUGCCAAAGCUCGCCUCUCAAGUGACCAAGCAAUAAACAGAAAGGACUCGCGGUGACAUGAAAGGAGUAGGCUAGCCAAGCAGGAAGGGGCGCCCACCAGCCACAUUUCUUGCUGGCUUGCUAACACUGUCGGAGUCAAAGGAAAUAGAUGAUACAAAGAGCUUCUUUGUAGUUUUGUUUAAAGAGAAGCCAUGCUUAGGAACUGGCUUGACGAAUGUGGAGAGCAUGCUGAUGAACAGGCUUGCUCGCCGCGUUUGGGAGCAGGCAUGGAUCAGGUGAGUGGAUCUAACGCGCCAAGCAGACCAGUCCCCUCCCCCCACCCCCAAUCUCUUCCCAGCACCGAUUCUUCAGGGCAACUCCCUCCUUUGAGAGGCAUCAAGGGCUCUUGACGCUGACCCGUUUACCCCUUGGAGACAGACUUCCUCUUCCUGUGGGCUGUUCUCCUUUCUUUCCUAGGCACCGGUUCUCCUCUGCUGGCUGUGCUGAGGCCUCCCGCUGAUUACAGUUGGAGGGGCUGUUAGCAUGCGAUCCUUUCUUCUUUUGUUUGAAGUCAUUUAAUGAUUAAGCAACCCCUGGUUUUGACCUCUCUUCUGGCUGAAGGAACCAUUGUGCCUCUGUAUCCUGGAGCUCAGCCUUGUGUUUGAUCCCAGCCCUAUCCUCCAGACCUGGGGUGGAUCCACAUUUAUCAUGGAGCUGUAAACUGGUGGUUUCUCCUCGGAUCUGUUCAAACACCAGCUUCCCCUCAAGCUUAGUUGCACACGGGAGUGCAAACUCAGGAGGACUGUUGACAGCUAUGAUAAGGCCAGAGUGCUGGUGGAUCAACACCUGCCUUCUGUUUGAUCACACACUGCUGUUCCUAGUAAUGGACUGUGGACUAGGUGUUCAAGCCUCUCAGGACUCAAAUAGAAAAAUAUUUGCAUAAAAAUUCAAUAUUCAUUGCCUCCAAGGUGCUCCUGAUGUACACAUUCCUCCCUCCCUCCCUCCCUCCCUCCUUUAAGAGAAGCAGAUGUCUCCACAGCAAUGGAGGCAAGCCUGUGGAAUCCCAUGUCUGCAGUGUUUUGAUUCACUUUGCAAUACUUUCUGCAUACAUAAAAUUUAUUCUACAAGUC